rnacentral:lncRNA from 1 species
CAAGAAUGCGGUCUGCAGCCGCGCAUUGUGCGUGCGAUCGGAUCCAGUAUUCCGCAAUUUUUAUUUUUCUGGAAAUGGAGGGGGGACGGGGGCGGGGGAAGCAGGAACCGGGCACCGGGUUUCAGCUCUAGCGCUUUGGGCAAAAGCUGCUCAACCCCAACCCUGAGCUCCCAGCGGGGCAGAGCCCCGUCAGGGCCGCGCGCUGUCAGGUUCAAGCCCACACCCCCCGGGCCGGGGCCCAGGGCGGAGGCGCCCGGCGCAUUCUUGGACACGAAGGCUCGAAAACACAAACCGCUCCGAGGCAGCCCACAGGUUCGUGGGAAGGCAAUUCCGCCACGGACGAGGCUGGGGCUCCGAUCUGCUCGGGGGGUGCUUCUGAGCGCACGUCGCCGUGUGAACCUCGUAUUCCUUGGCCCCGGAAUCAAGCUCCAGGAGUCCCACGAGUCGAGGAAACCCGUUUGCCAAAGCAAAAAGCCGCCCCCUUCCUUCAGAUCGGGCCCGAUUCCCGUCUUCUUUCUCCCCGGACUCCCGCCCCGCCCCACCCCCACCCCCAUCUUUGGCGGCUGCGCCCCUCGCCCCGAGCGCCUGCUCCCGGGCUGGUCAGGGCUCCGAGGACGGAGCUCCCUCCAGCCCCCAGAACGACCUCCCCAGGACUCCACGCACUUAGGGGGCUUCGCAGUUGGCAAUUCCUCCCGUCACCCGCAGCUUCUCUCCCCGACAGCCCCCUCCCCACCGGCUCCGGUGACCAGCCGCGCCGCCCCCUCACCCCUCCACCCUGCGAGCGGCCGAAGCCUCCCACUUCUGGGCCCCCCAUCACCCGGGAUCCCCAAAGUGCGACGGAGCCUCACAGAGGGACCCAGGCCCUUGCCGUCCAAUCCGGGACCACAUCCCAGCUGCCCGUUGCACUCGGGGAGAGCCUGGGGGCCGCGGGGCGGGGCGCGGCUCGGUGGGGACGGAGGCCCCUGGGUCCCACCGGGCUGGCCUCCUUACCGGCUCCGGGUGCCUGUGCAGCCCCUGGGUGAGCGCGGUGCCGCCGCGAGGCCGGGGUCGCUGGCGUCGUCUGGCUGGUGCCUGGCCGCUGGCGGAGGCUCUCUCCCGGCUCGACGGCAGAGCCCGGAACGAGGAGCCAGUUGGAGCGCUGCCGCCGCCGUCGUCGCCGCUGCCGCUACUGCUGCCGCCGCCGCCGCUGCAGCCUCUGCAUUUCUCGCGCUCGCUCCCCCUCCCCUUCCUGCCCAGUGCCCUCCCCCCGCGCGUCCGCCCGCCCAGCCUCCCUCCUCCCGCGCUCCCCGCCCGCCUCUCUCCCCUCCCUCCAGCCCGGCGCCCCGCCCGCCUCUCUCCCCUCCCUCCAGCGCCGGGCUCCCCCCCCCUGCCCUCCCUCCCCUCCCCUCCCCUCCCCUCCCCUCCCUCCAGCCCGGCACGCCCGCCCCCCCUUGA